UUCGACCGUGCAAAGGUAGCAUAAUCAUUUGCCUUAUAAUUGAAGGCUAGUAUGAAUGGUUUGACAAGAAUGUAGCUGUCUCUUUAUAAUUUAAUAGAAUUUUAUUUUCAGGUGAAGAAGCCUGUAUUUAAUUAAAAGACAAGAAGACCCUAUCGAGCUUGAAAAAACUUAAUAGAAUUAAAAUUAAUAUUUAUAAAAAAUUGUCUAUUAAACAUUUUAGUUGGGGCGACUGAGGAACAUAAAAAGCUUCCUUUAUAAACUGAUUUAAAUCAAACUAGAAUUGAUCCAAAAUAUUUUGAUUAAAGGAAUUAGUUACCGUAGGGAUAACAGCAUUAUCUUUUUUAAGAGCUCAUAUCGAAAAAAAGGUUUGUGACCUCGAUGUUGGACCAGAAUAUCCUAAAGGUGC
rnacentral:rRNA from 1 species